GUGCUCGCUUUGGCAGCACACACACUAAAACUGGGUCGCCAGAGAGGAUUAGCAUAGCCCCUGCAGAAGGAUGACGUGCAAAUUCGUGAAGUGCUCCAUAUUUUU